rnacentral:rRNA from 1 species
UACGAAGGGGGCUAGCGUUGCUCGGAUUGACUGGGCGUAAAGGGCGCGUAGGCGGAUAGUACAGUCAGGCGUGAAAUUCCUGGGCUCAACCUGGGGGCUGCGUUUGAUACGUAUUGUCUGGAGUUCGGAAGAGGGUCGUGGAAUUCCCAGUGUAGAGGUGAAAUUCGUAGAUAUUGGGAAGAACACCGGUGGCGAAGGCGGCGACCUGGUCCGAUACUGACGCUGAGGCGCGAAAGCGUGGGGAGGCAAACAGG